AAUUGAAGAGUUUGAUCAUGGCUCAGAUUGAACGCUGGCGGCAGGCCUAACACAUGCAAGUCGAACGGUAACAGGAAGAAGCUUGCUUCUUUGCUGACGAGUGGCGGACGGGUGAGUAAUGUCUGGGGAACUGCCUGAUGGAGGGGGAUAACUACUGGAAACGGUAGCUAAUACCGCAUAACGUCGCAAGACCAAAGAGGGGGACCCUCGGGCCUCUUGCCAUCGGAUGUGCCCAGAUGGGAUUAGCUAGUAGGU
rnacentral:rRNA from 1 species